GUGGGGAAUAUUGGGCAAUGGGGGGAACCCUGACCCAGCGACGCCGCGUGGGUGAAGAAAUCCUUCGGGAUGUAAAGCCCUGUUGUAUGGGAAGAGCGGAAGACGGUACCAUACGAGGAAGCCCCGGCAAACUACGUGCCAGCAGCCGCGGUAAUACGUAGGGGGCAAGCGUUGUCCGGAAUUACUGUGCGUAAAGCGCACGCAGGCUGAAUUAUAAGUCGUUAGUAAAAGGCGGGGGCUCAACUUCCGUAUAGCGAUCGAUACGGUAAAUCUAGAGGAUGUGAGAGGGAAGCGGAAUUCCCGGUGUAGCGGUGAAAUGCGUAGAGAUCGGGAGGAACACCAGUGGCGAAGGCGGCUUCCUGGCAAAAUACUGACGCUCAUGUGCGAAAGCUAGGGCAGCGAACGGGAUUAGAAACCCCGGUAGUCC
rnacentral:rRNA from 1 species